CCCUAUCAAGAUGAACUUC
rnacentral:misc_RNA from 1 species